UGGGGAAUAUUGCACAAUGGAGGGAACUCUGAUGCAGCGACGCCGCGUGAGUGAUGAAGGAAUUCGUUUCGUAAAACUCUGUUCUAUGGGAAGAAAAGGACUGUACCAUAGGAGAAAGCUCCGGCUAAAUACGUGCCAGCAGCCGCGGUAAUACGUAUGGAGCGAGCGUUGUCCGGAAUUAUUGGGCGUAAAGGGUGCGCAGGCGGCUUUACAAGUUGGAUGUGAAAUAUUGUGGCUCAACCACAAACGUGCAUCCAAAACUGCAAAGCUUGAGUUAAGGAGAGGUAAGUGGAAUUCCUGGUGUAGCGGUGGAAUGCGUAAAUAUCAGGAGGAAUACCGGUGGCGAAGGCGACUUACUGAACUUAAACUGACGCUCAGGCACGAAAGCGUGGGGAGCAAACAGG
rnacentral:rRNA from 1 species